GAUGAACGCUGGCGGUGUGCCUAAUACAUGCAAGUCGAACGGGAUCUUCGGAUCUAGUGGCGAACGGGUGAGUAACACGUUGGUACCUACCCCGAAGUGGGGAAUAACUGCCCGAAAGGGUGGCUAAUACCGCAUAAUACCGCAAGGUUAAAGCAGUAAUGCGCUUCGGGAGGGGCCUGCGUCCCAUUAGCUAGUUGGUAGGGUAAUGGCCUACCAAGGCGACGAUGGGUAGCUGGAUCGAGAGGUUGACCAGCCACACUGGGACUGAGAUACGGCCCAGACUCCUACGGGAGGCAGCAGUAAGGAAUCUUCCACAAUGGACGAAAGUCUGAUGGAGCAAC
rnacentral:rRNA from 1 species